AGCUUUGCGCAGUGGUGAUAUCGUAACCAACGAGGUUCAUCCGAGGUGCGAUUAUUGCUAGUUGAAAAAAAAUAAGAUAUUAUGGUACGCAUUAUAUACAUUCUACAUACCAGGCGUGCCCAACCUUUUUCAACUUGCUGGCCA